GGCUUAGCGUUUUGGUGCAACGGAUUUCUAAUCCGUAGGUCGCAGGUUCGAGUCCUGCCGGGCG
rnacentral:tRNA from 1 species